rnacentral:lncRNA from 1 species
GUAAUGAGAGAUCACCAGGCUAGGAGGAUAGAGAAGCCUGAAUUCUGCUAAGGAAUAGACAUAAACAACUGCCAGCCAUUAUUCUGGAGGUCACAAGUGAUUCAGCACUCAGGAUUAUUGCCCACACCCCUACGAUUGCACCCCCAAGCAAUCACCAGCAAGCACCCAAUGCCUAGCCAUCCCCACCCCUUCCCCCAAACUACCUUUGAAAAACCCCUAACCUACCAGCCUUCAAUGAGAUUGAUUUGAGUAAUAACUCCAUCUCCAGUGUGGAGUGGCCAGCCUCACAUCAAUUAAACUCUUUCUUUACUGCAAUGCUAUGGUCUUUGUUUGUGCAGCAGGCAGGAAGAACUCCUCAGGCAGUUACACUUCGAGCCUUAAGACACCUUGAUGUCAGACUUCCAGUGCCCUGAAUUGUGACAGAAUAAAUUUCUGUUGUUUUAAAACUCCCAAGUUUGUGACAGUUUGUUAUGGCAGUUCUAGGAAACUAAAAUAAAUGGUGAUUUUUGACGCCCCUUAAAUCACCUCACUUAUGGGAGUGUCCACUUCAUCUACUCCAGGCUCACCCCCUCUUUUCCCAAAGAGAAGAAAUAUUUUGUGUACGAGAAUAUUUCUUCCUGAUCUUCACUUUGCAGCAUAUGGACUGCAACAAGAGCGUGAGAAAAGCAAUGCCAAGUCAAUAAGGAUUGCUUGUCCAGUGCACAAAACACCCUGCUUAGCAUAAGAGUAACAGAAGCAUUUCUUUGUCACUAGUUAGCUGUGUGACCUUAAGGGAGUGACUUAACCCUUUGAAACUUCCACUUUCUCAAAACAAAUUAGUUGCACAAUACAUAUUUAAGGUCCUUAAUGUCAUAGAAUUACUUAGCAAAUUAUAGUAUUAGGAGCAAAGAAAAGACAAUAGGGGAAAACAUGAAGAAGCCUUGGAAACUUGAGUACAUCCUCCCUAAAGGAAAAUAACUCCCACAAAUGCUUAAAACGCACCCAUUACAUAGGGCUUUAAUCAUAGGAUAAUUUUGUGCCUGCAACUGCCUAAUUUUUAGUACCAUAGUAAAUAGGUCCUGACAACAGAUUGUUCUUUUAAAUGCAAAUGUUCCCACUAUCUUGACACAUUAUAAUUGUUCUUAGGGCUAUUGACAUCAACAACAUCAGUAUCUCAGGAAAAAUGUGCUGUAUGUAUUUCACUACCUGUCUCGGCUAACCCAUAUGAACAUAUAGCCCUUUUUCUUCAGCAAUCCUCUCUGCAAAUCAUGAUCAUAGAGGCCUCCCCUUAGCAGGACACAGCCUCUCCUAGCCAUCCUGGGAAUUAACUCCACACAGCAGGUUGGGUCUUGCCUACUCACCUUGCAAGCACUCAAUUCAAGGUUAGAGAAAGGUGUAAUUAAAGAGAGAAUAUAAUCUUUCAAUCUUUAGGUUGCAUAUCAAGGACCAAAGUCUCCAAAGACUCUCACUAGCUGAAGCUCUUUGGCAAUGGAGGGGGAAAAUCAAGGCUAGGAAGAGUUAAUCCAGAUUCUAGGACAGGUUAACGUUUCCCUCUUGCUUAGCCCAAGACCUUUAGCCUCUUUUUACUUCUUGCAUUACCAUAUCAAUAUUCCCUUUUCACCCAAAUCCCUCCAUCUACAGCAACUGGUGAGCUGUAAGUUUUGUUUUGUUUAUAUUUGUUAGCAGCUUAACUAUUUCAUGUUCAUUUACAUAUUCCAUGCAAUGUAUCCAUUGAAGUCACUAACAUAUUACUUCCUUGUAGAUCCUUUACAUUCUUUACCAUAUUUUUUUAGUUUAAGGAAAAAUAGCCAAUAAUGUCCCUGCUUAAAUAGAACACAAAGAAGUGAGAGUAUUGAUGGUUAUAAAUUGCUCCUGGUCUUCCAAUAUGGAAACCAAAAACUGGAGACUGGAAAAUCACAUGAAGGAAGACUUUUAGAAAAGUGAUUCAACUGUUAUUAUGAAUUCCUUGAAAAUUUUAACCAAUAGGUUAAAGUUAAAACAGGUUAAUAUAAAAGAAAAACAUAAAUGAUUUAAUGACAUAGUGAGUAGAAAAGUGACACAUACUUCAAAGGGAGAAUGGGGAUACCAGUACAGGGAGUUUGGGAAGAGAAAGUAUGAACUAUAGAAAGGGGAGGAGAAACUGAUACAGAAGGCAUGAGCUCGUGUGUUGCUCUUCAGGUGUUUGUCAGAUCUAGUUACUAACAAUAACAACCAUGCACAAAUGUCCUAUGUGAGAGCAGUAAAAGCUCCUCUGGUAGGCUAGGCCACCUACCAGCUCUGUCCUGCCUCUCAAGGUGAAAGUCAGAACCAUCAUAUUCCCUGUGCAACCCAAGGCCUAACAAAUCCCAGAACAGUAGCCCUCGUUACACUAAGAUUCCCGCGGUUCUCAGGUCGAGAUGCCAAAGUAGGCCAUUUAGCAGCCAGCUGUUCCUGGUGACUAACUUAUCAGUGCUCUGAGGAUUAUUUUUGAAGAUAUAAAUGAAUGUUAGUCUUUGAGCCCCAGAAACACAGCUCACUAAAUAUGAAUCAUUGUGCUAAUCCAGUGCAGGACUCUGUAGGUGUGGGCUGUGUUGUUUGUCCUGGGCUCAAGGAAGAAAGCAAUGAUAUAUUUAAAGCAGGGUGUUUUCAGAGAGAGCAUUAACACAGUGAAUUAUAUGGAGAAUGCAAAUGAAAGAACAGUGAAAGUGACCUUGAGUCCUGUGGCUCAAACUAGUUCCCUGUUAGCUAAUAGCCAAACUGAUCGAGAACAUCAGGAGAGGAAGUUAUAGAUGUUCUGUUUAUUAAACAGAAAACAUUAACAACUUGGUUGUACAUUGAAACACACUAAGACAUGAAAACAAGCACAGGGCAAAAGGGAAAAGUUCAGCGAAUUUUCCUGAACUUUUUUUUUCCUUUUUAGUGCUGUUUUAGCAAUGGCAUUUGAUCAAAUACAGGAAAGGAAUUUUUUGUUUUGUUUUGUUUGUUUUUUUGCAGAGCUUCUUUUGUCCCUAUGAGAUUCACAAUUUUAAUGCAAUCCACUGCAGAAACUGUUGAAAUAUAAAUCUACAGGUCAUAUCUCAAAGUAAGAUGGUAGCACAUUCCAUUGUUUGGGGGAACAGCAGAGACAUUAGAGCUCAGAGGAUGUUUCCAUUUUACAGGAUGGAAAAUGGAGGCCCAAGAAAUUCAAAUGACGUGCCCAAGGUAGUCAUGGAAAUAAGUCUAGAAUUUUGACUUCUGUCCACGCAUACAUCCUGUGCCUUAAGGUCAUGAGUUGCCACUCAUCACCGCAGUCCCUUAUAAGGCUUAGGCUGGGUAUAGAGAAAAUGGAAGAAAGCCAUUGCAAAGUUACAUCUGAAUAACUCUAAGCAUGCUACACUCAAUAAAACCCAACUUCCGAAAAACAUGGCUUACAGACCAAGUUUUUACUGUUUAUGGGACUGCAGUGUUCUGCACACAUGACUAAAAAGCUCCAAGCACUACCUUAAAUCAUCCAUAGUUGUAGGCUAAAGUCUGCCCCCAGCCCCACCCCUUCACCCAAACCUCUAAAUGUGAUCUGUGAAAUUUCUUUCUACUUUGAGAAUAGGAAAAUGAGCUGGGCUCAGUUAAGGGCCAUCACCAAGUUCCACAUGGCUCCUGAGAUGGUUUGUCUUCUGGGUAUGAGCCCCUUCCCCCUUCUCCCUCAGAUGAAGCUCUCUUAACCCACUGGACACCUGUGGGCAGCUUAGGCAAGGAGGGCAGCCUCUAGGUAGGCAGAUUCAAAGUUGAUUCAAACAUGCUCUUGUCCCUCUGGGCAUUCACACUAAGCUCUUUCACCUUUCAG